UUAAUUGAAACCAAAAAAGAGGUGUAUCACUGUUAAUGAUACUAGUGGGCUUAUGCCCCAAUUAAA
rnacentral:tRNA from 1 species